rnacentral:rRNA from 1 species
GACGAACGCUGGCGGCAGGCCUAACACAUGCAAGUCGAGCGAACCCUUCGGGGUUAGCGGCGGACGGGUUAGUAACGCGUGGGAAUAUACCCUUUGGUACGGAAUAGCCUCGGGAAACUGAGAGUAAUACCGUAUGUGCCCUUGGGGAAAGAUUUAUCGCCAAAGGAUUAGCCCGCGUUUGGAUUAGAUAGUUGGUGGGGUAAUGGCCUACCAAGUCUACGAUCCAUAGCUGGUUUGAGAGGAUGAUCAGCAACACUGGGACUGAGACACGGCCCAGACUCCUACGGGAGGCAGCAGUGGGGAAUCUUAGACAAUGGGCGCAAGCCUGAUCUAGCCAUGCCGCGUGGACGAGUGAAGGGCCUUAGGGUUGUAAAAGUCCUUUUCAGAUGGGAA